UCUUCAGGUUAUAUUUUCAUUAGAUGAAACAUUAGAAAAAUACCUUUUUAUGUUUUUAUUCAGGAGCUACAUUGUCAGAAAUAUUUAAUACCAAAAAAGUAAAAUACCAAUUAAUGGCAUUUAAAUUUUUGACUUUCCAGCAAAGAUUUCAGUAGUUUCUCAAUCCCGGUCCUUUGUUAACAACAAAAUUAACUACAUUCCAGGCUUUAUUCCUGAUCCAGCCGCUUUCAAGCUCUUUGACCUUAAGCAAGUUCCUCAACCCCUCUGGAUCUAGCUUCUUCAUAAACAUUUAAAGUUAUGUUAAGUUGUUUUACAGUUCCUUGCAGUACUAAUAUUCUAACGUUAAGUUCCUUUUUACAAAUAGGGAAAUAGAAAUUCUAAUCUUAACUAGCUUUCCAGAAGUCACAUGAGAAAAAGAAAGCCUAAUUUUAAAAGAGUCAAUUAAUUAUAUCCAGCCUGGAUACAGAUACACCAACAGGGAGCCCAUUGUGGAAAACUGUCCUAAGCUUCCCAGGCACACCUGCUGUCAAGGAUCCGUCCUCAAGGCAUCAGUUGCCAAAGCUCAUCUCACUCUAUAAAGGGAGGGGACUGGCGAAUUAUAAACUCUCCGGUCUGGUCUUGGGAAUAUUUUCCAUCUAUCGGAGGUGAGCAAUCUGAAGACAAGAGGAAGAAGGAAAAAGAGCCUCGGAGUCGACGUGAUCUCCAAACAGACUUAGGACAGGAGAUGAUCUGGCCAUGCGAUUGUUGCUACAACAGUCUGUGUUUUGCAGCCCUUUGUAGCUACACAAACACUUUCUGGUGAGAGAGGUCAAGGAUCCAGGAUCCAGGACCAAGAGUGGGGUCCUAUCUAAAGCACUGAGUAUGCCGGGCUAGGCCUCAUUUGCCAACAGUUGCUGGAAUCUUUACUAAUUACAACUCUACCUGAAUUGCAUGAUUAUUGUUAUUUGAAGAUCAAUAUGAAAAAGAUUUUAUUCUGAAGUAAACAUGGGGUCUGAACUCACAAACUCUAGAUCAAGAGAUGCUCCACCAACACAGCUAGCCAGGCUCGCCUAACUGGAAAUCUCAUAUAAAUGGAAUCAUUCAAUAUGUGGCUUUUGUGUCUGCCUUCUUGGUGUAAUAUGUUCAAAUUCAUCCAUGUUGAAGCACGUAUCUGUACUUCAUUCUUUUCAUCGGCAAAUAAGAUUCCAUACAUAGAUCUGCCACAUUUGGUUUAUGCUUCUUCUUUUUUUUUUUUUUUUUUAAAGCCAUCUCUGCACCAAGGUGGGGCCCAGGCUCACUCCCCUGAGAUCAAGAGUUGGAUGGGAUGCUCUAGCUUUACCAACUAAGCCAUCCAGGCGCCCCAUUGCUUCUAUUUUUAAAUAAGGAUGAUGUAGUCUUUUUAAGCUAGCAUCUGGGACUUAUUAUCUUUUUUAAGAUUGAGAAGAGAAUGUUUAAAAACAUUAUUUUUUUUUUAGACUUAAAAAAAUUAUUUGUCAGAGA